rnacentral:lncRNA from 1 species
UCACCUUGAUGAGCAUAGCCAUAGGAAGGGAGCUUCAUAAUCCAGACAAAUAUGCAGCGAUGAUCUCUAUAAGAGGAGCACUUCUUCUCCAAGAUGGACACCUUGCACAUAGCUACAAGUUCUCCAAAGCACUUCGAAACGACACUUGCAACUGAGGGAUAGAAUAGACCCUGGUAAUUCAAAACCUAGCGGAGAACCUUUGGGCCUUGAAUACCCCCC